rnacentral:rRNA from 1 species
GAUGAACGCUGGCGGCGUGCCUAAUACAUGCAAGUCGAGCGACCGGACGAGAAGCUUGCUUUUCUGAUGUUAGCGGCGGACGGGUGAGUAACACGUGGAUCCCCUACCUAUAAGACUGGGAUAACUUCGGGAAACCGGAGCUAAUACCGGAUAAUAUUUUGAACCGCAUGGUUCAAAAGUGAAAGAGGGUCUUGCUGUCACUUAUAGAUGGUGCCGCGCUGCCUUAGCUAGUUGGUAAGGUAACGGCUAACCAAGGCAACGAAGCUUAGCCGGCCUGAGAGGGUGAUCGGCCACACUGGAACUGAGACCCGGUCCAGACUCCUACGGGAGGCAGCAGUAGGGAAUCUUCCGCAAUGGGCGAAAGCCUGACGGAGCAACGCCGCGUGAGUGAUGAAGGUCUUCGGAUCGUAAAACUCUGUUAUUAGGGAAGAACAUAUGUGUAAGUAACUGUGCACAUCUUGACGGUACCUAAUCAGAAAGCCACGGCUAACUACGUG